CAGCCGCCACGGUAAUACAGAGGGUGCAAGCGUUAAUCGGAAUUACUGGGCGUAAAGCGCGCGUAGGUGGUUCGCCAAGUUGGAUGUGAAAUCCCCGGGCUCAACCUGGGAACUGCAUCCAAAACUGGCGAGCUAGAGUAUGGUAGAGGGUGGUGGAAUUUCCUGUGUAGCGGUGAAAUGCGUAGAUAUAGGAAGGAACAUCAGUGGCGAAGGCGACCACCUGGACUGAUACUGACACUGAGGUGCGAAAGCGUGGGGAGCAAACAGGAUUAGAGACCCCAGUAGUCCCUGUCUCUUAUAC
rnacentral:rRNA from 1 species